UGCUGUAACUUCACCAAUUUUUUUUUUUUUCUGGUGCCUCUUUCACAAGGACACUAACUCCUACUAACUUUUAGUUCUUGUCUUCCCUUGUUCCUUACUUUUGAGUUAGCCGGAAAGUAUGAAAGAGCUCAGUUUUUAUAUUUUCAUGAGGGGCUCGAGUUAAUUCUAUUCUUGAAAGCGCCUUGUCUGACACCACGCGCAGUUUGUCACAGAGACCGCGUUGGGAGCAAUCUGAUUGGUUCAGGAGAGCGACCUCCUCGCGCAUGACACUGAAGC